GUGGUUGAUGUCGGUUCCACGUCUAGACGGUUUUCGCCAUGGAAAGUCGUUGAAAAUGCCCGUUUCGUCGCGGAUUGAAAAUCCGCGUGUCACUGGUUCGAUUCCGGUCCUGGGCACCA
rnacentral:tRNA from 1 species